rnacentral:lncRNA from 1 species
CAUUACCUAAUCAAAUUUAAAAAAAAGUUUUCUGCUUGUUGUUUUCAGCCUGGAUUUCCAUUUGCUGAAAAAGCUAUAUUUUCUAAGGGAACUCUUGGGCAACCUCAGACUCAGAGAUUUCACAAAUGUAGUGUCCUCAGCAGAAGCUCUUCCUCCCCGCUUAGAACUCUGCAUUUCUGCUCCCUCUACUUCCCCUAUAUCUCCCAUAAGGAUUCGCUUUCUCUGUUCCCUUAGUUCUUCUUCUCAGAGACUCAGAAGUAGCAACAGAAGAGUCAGCGUCCUGCCCCUCCUACUGCCUACCCAGGUUCCAGACUGAGGAGGCAUGAGGUGAGAUGUUCUUACCCCCUAAAUGCCUGAAGAAGUCCAGAAUGGCCAGAGAAGCCCCACUGCUGCUGUUCCUGACGUUACUGGGAAUCUCAGGCUUCCAGGAAACAAAAAAUUUGGACCACAAGUACUUAAGAGAAGGGCAGACGUUGAAUGUCAGCUGCUCAUACCCUCUCGAGGACCAAGAGAAGUCUUGGAAAGUUUGGUGUAAACUACAAGAGAAUAAAAAGGAUUGUAACAGAUUAGUGGUCAUAAAAAAAUUCUGGGUUUUCACCAAAGAAGGUAAAUUCUCCCUUCAAUUCAUUGAUAAGUCUAAGUCUGGCCACAUCAUCAUCAUAAUGUCAGGACUCAGGGAAAAGGACUCAGGACAUUACUGGUGCAUGACCAUCAAGAAAGGCAAUGCCACUAUCCUCAAGAGAAUCCACCUGGUAGUAUCUCCAGCCCAGAACACCAACAAAGAGAUUCAGAUUACUUCAGAGGUCCCUUCCACCACUCCAGCCACCUGCAGUUUCUUAGAAAAGGAGAAAUUCAUCAUUUUGGGUGUGGUCCUGACCUUCCUGCUCCUAUUAGGGGUCCUUAUUACGGGAAUUGUAUACAUCAAGAAACUCCACCAGAAAGCCAAGAAAGGGUGGAACCCAGGAGAUGGAGGAUGAAGAAGAUCCUAGAGACAUCCAUUAUGCCUCAGUGACCUUCAUCAGCCCCAGGGAACCGAUGUGCACAAACACACAGAAGGCAUCCAGCUCAAAGACUCUGCAAACCCCCUUUGAGUCUGUGUAAUUGCCAGCAUCACAAGGACUGAAUAUCAGCAUGCCAAAUCAACAGCCAUAUAUGAGCCAGUGGGCAGGGAGAGUUAGUCAUCUGUAGGUGCUUAAUAAAUGCAUGUUGAUUCCUUAUAGAAAUAUGUUU